rnacentral:tRNA from 1 species
CCGGCGUUCGGCCGGUAGCCCAGCUCCGCGAUGGCCGCGCGGAUCCGGGCCCGGGUCUCCUCCGGGAUGGCGGC